UACGUAGGGUCCGAGCGUUUGUCCGGAGUUACUGGGCGUAAAGCGCGCGCAGGCGGCCGCUCAAGUCUGGCGUGAAAGCCCCCGGCUCAACCGGGGAGGGUCGUCGGAGACUGGGUGGCUUGAGGGCGGUAGGGGCUGGUGGAAUUCCCGGUGUAGUGGUGAAAUGCGUAGAGAUCGGGAGGAACACCUGUGGCGAAGGCGGCCAGCUGGGCCGUCCCUGACGCUGAGGCGCGAAGGCGUGGGGGAGCGAACGGGG
rnacentral:rRNA from 1 species